rnacentral:lncRNA from 1 species
AAGACUGCUUUAAGUCAUCAAUCUUGUUAAAGAGGACUUCGAUCUGCUCUGCAUUGGCCUUCUGAAUUUGUAGAGCUUCUGCCUUCUGAUCUUGUAUGGCCUUCUGAUAUAUGAUAUCUCUCUCUUGGAGUUUGAGUGAUAUCUCAGCCAUAGCAGCUUGAAGCUUGUGCUGGAAGGAAUUAUCUCCUCCUACUGUUAGCUUCUAU